GACGAACGCUGGCGGCGUGCUUAACACAUGCAAGUCGAACGGAAAGGCCCUGCUUUCGUGGGGUGCUCGAGUGGCGAACGGGUGAGUAACACGUGAGUAACCUGCUCUUGACUUUGGGAUAACUUCAGGAAACUGGGGCUAAUACCGGAUAGGAGCUCCUGCUGCAUGGUGGGGGUUGGAAAGUUUCGGCGGUUGGGGAUGGACUCGCGGCUUAUCAGCUUGCUGGUGGGGUAGUGGCUUACCAAGGCUUUGACGGGUAGCCGGCCUGAGAGGGUGACCGGCGACAUUGGGACUGAGAAACGGCCCAGACUCCUACGGGAGGCAGCAGUGGGGAAUAUGGCACAAUAGGCGGAAGCCUGAUGCAGCAACGCCGCGUGCGGGAUGGCGGCCUUCGGGUUGUAAACCGCAUUCGCCUGUGACGAAGCGGGAGUGACGGUAAUGGGUAAAGAAGCACCGGCUAACUACGUG
rnacentral:rRNA from 1 species